GGAUUCUACAUUCAAUAAGCGGAGGAAAAGAAACCAACAGGGAUUGCCCUAGUAACGGCGAGUGAAGCGGCAACAGCUCAAAUUUGAAAUCUGGCGUCUUUGGCGUCCGAGUUGUAAUUUGCAGAGGGCGCUUUGGCAUUGGCAGCGGUCCAAGUUCCUUGGAACAGGACGUCACAGAGGGUGAGAAUCCCGUACGUGGUCGCUAGCCUUUACCGUGUAAAGCCCCUUCGACGAGUCGAGUUGUUUGGGAAUGCAGCUCUAAAUGGGAGGUAAAUUUCUUCUAAAGCUAAAUACUGGCCAGAGACCGAUAGCGCACAAGUAGAGUGAUCGAAAGAUGAAAAGCACUUUGGAAAGAGAGUUAAAAAGCACGUGAAAUUGUUGAAAGGGAAGCGCUUGCAGCCAGACUUGCCUGUAGUUGCUCAUCCGGGUUUUUACCCGGUGCACUCUUCUACGGGCAGGCCAGCAUCAGUUUGGGCGGUUGGAUAAAGGUCUCUGUCAUGUACCUCCUUUCGGGGAGAUCUUAUAGGGGAGACGACAUGCAACCAGCCUGGACUGAGGUCCGCGCAUCUGCUAGGAUGCUGGCGUAAUGGCUGUAAGCGGCCCGUCUUGAAACACGGACCAAGGAGUCUAACAUCUAUGCGAGUGUUUGGGUGUCAAGCCCGAGCGCGUAAUGAAAGUGAACGGAGGUGGGAACCUUUCGGGGUGCACCAUCGACCGAUCCUGAUGUCUUCGGAUGGAUUUGAGUAAGAGCAUAGCUGUUGGGACCCGAAAGAUGGUGAACUAUGCUUGAAUAGGGUGAAGCCAGAGGAAACUCUGGUGGAGGCUCGCAGCGGUUCUGACGUGCAAAUCGAUCGUCAAAUUUGGGCAUAGGGGCGAAAGACUAAUCGAACUAUCUAGUAGCUG
rnacentral:rRNA from 1 species